GACAGAGGCCCCGAGCGUUAAUCGGAAUCACUGGGCUUAAAGGGUGCGUAGGCGGACUUGUAAGUGUCGUGUGAAAGCCCACCGCUCAACGGUGGAACCGCACGGCAAACUGCGAGUCUAGAGGAACUCAGAGGCCGGCAGAACGAUUGGUGGAGCGGUGGAAUGUGUAGAUAUCAAUCGGAAUGCCGAAGGUGAAGACCGCCGGCUGGGGGUUUCCUGACGCUGAGGCACGAAAGCGUGGGGAGCAAACAGG
rnacentral:rRNA from 1 species